UAGCUACAGGCUUAACACAUGCAAGUCGAGGGGCAGCAUUUCAGUUUGCUUGCAAACUGGAGAUGGCGACCGGCGCACGGGUGAGUAACACGUAUCCAACCUGCCGAUAACUCGGGGAUAGCCUUUCGAAAGAAAGAUUAAUACCCGAUGGUAUAAUCAGACCGCAUGGUCUUGUUAUUAAAGAAUUUCGGUUAUCGAUGGGGAUGCGUUCCAUUAGGCAGUUGGUGAGGUAACGGCUCACCAAACCUUCGAUGGAUAGGGGUUCUGAGAGGAAGGUCCCCCACAUUGGAACUGAGACACGGUCCAAACUCCUACGGGAGGCAGCAGUGAGGAAUAUUGGUCAAUGGGCGCAGGCCUGAACCAGCCAAGUAGCGUGAAGGAUGACUGCCCUAUGGGUUGUAAACUUCUUUUAUAUGGGAAUAAAGUUUUCCACGUGUGGAAUUUUGUAUGUACCAUAUGAAUAAGGAUCGGCUAACUCCGUGCCAGCAGCCGCGGUAAUACGGAGGAUCCGAGCGUUAUCCGGAUUUAUUGGGUUUAAAGGGAGCGUAGGUGGACAGUUAAGUCAGUUGUGAAAGUUUGCGGCUCAACCGUAAAAUUGCAGUUGAUACUGGCUGUCUUGAGUACAGUAGAGGUGGGCGGAAUUCGUGGUGUAGCGGUGAAAUGCUUAGAUAUCACGAAGAACUCCGAUUGCGAAGGCAGCUCACUGGACUGCAACUGACACUGAUGCUCGAAAGUGUGGGUAUCAAACAGGAUUAGAUACCCUGGUAGUCCACACAGUAAACGAUGAAUACUCGCUGUUUGCGAUAUACAGUAAGCGGCCAAGCGAAAGCAUUAAGUAUUCCACCUGGGGAGUACGCCGGCAACGGUGAAACUCAAAGGAAUUGACGGGGGCCCGCACAAGCGGAGGAACAUGUGGUUUAAUUCGAUGAUACGCGAGGAACCUUACCCGGGCUUAAAUUGCAUUUGAAUAUAUUGGAAACAGUAUAGCCGUAAGGCAAAUGUGAAGGUGCUGCAUGGUUGUCGUCAGCUCGUGCCGUGAGGUGUCGGCUUAAGUGCCAUAACGAGCGCAACCCUUAUCUUUAGUUACUAACAGGUCAUGCUGAGGACUCUAGAGAGACUGCCGUCGUAAGAUGUGAGGAAGGUGGGGAUGACGUCAAAUCAGCACGGCCCUUACGUCCGGGGCUACACACGUGUUACAAUGGGGGGUACAGAAGGCAGCUACCUGGUGACAGGAUGCUAAUCCCAAAAGCCUCUCUCAGUUCGGAUCGAAGUCUGCAACCCGACUUCGUGAAGCUGGAUUCGCUAGUAAUCGCGCAUCAGCCAUGGCGCGGUGAAUACGUUCCCGGGCCUUGUACACACCGCCCGUCAAGCCAUGAAAGCCGGGGGUACCUGAAGUACGUAACCGCAAGGAGCGUCCUAGGGUAAAACUGGUA
rnacentral:rRNA from 1 species